rnacentral:rRNA from 1 species
AGCGAACGCUGGCGGCAGGCUUAACACAUGCAAGUCGAGCGGGCAUCUUCGGAUGUCAGCGGCAGACGGGUGAGUAACACGUGGGAACGUACCCUUCGGUUCGGAAUAACGCUGGGAAACUAGCGCUAAUACCGGAUACGCCCUUUUGGGGAAAGGUUUACUGCCGAAGGAUCGGCCCGCGUCUGAUUAGCUAGUUGGUGGGGUAACGGCCUACCAAGGCGACGAUCAGUAGCUGGUCUGAGAGGAUGAUCAGCCACACUGGGACUGAGACACGGUCCAGACUCCUACGGGAGGCAGCAGUGGGGAAUUUUGGACAAUGGGCGAAAGCCUGAUCCAGCAAUGCCGCGUGAGUGAAGAAGGCCUUCGGGUUGUAAAGCUCUUUUGUCAGGGAAGAAACGGUGAAGGCUAAUAUCCU